rfam:Oryza meridionalis cultivar OR44 (W2112) chromosome 4, whole genome shotgun sequence.
UUUAAGUGCAACCAUGAGUUUCCGUACCCAACUUUGAUCUUUUGUCUUAUUUAAUUUUUUUAUGAUUAGAAUUUUACUGUUAUUAGAUGAUAAAACAUAAAUAGUAUUUUAUGUGUGAUUUUUGUUUUAAUUUUUUUAAAUUUUUUAAAUAAGACGGACGAUUAAAGUUGGACAGAAAAAACAACUUAAA